rnacentral:lncRNA from 1 species
GAAAGAGUUCUGCUGUCUUCUAGUUUCUUGGCAUGACUAGCAAUAGACACACAAUCUUAGGUUGUCACAUCUGAGUGCCCAAGCCCAGGAGGUGGGAAUGAAAGUAUCUGGUGUUUGUCUCUCCAGGGACAUGAGGCCUGUCUAUCUUACCACCAAGACUCACAAGGUCCAUGCCUCCCUCUUGAGUUUGUCAGUCAACACUGCAUGAGAUGAAGAGGCAGAAGCCGGAGAGGAUACAGGAAUAAACUAAAAGUCCAGAGAGUAAGUCUUGGAAGACUACACAGCCUUGAAGAAUGCUCACGUCACUCUCCAGGACUGCUUUGGAGAAAACCAUGCUGCUGCCAUCAGGAAAUACCACCACAGCUUAUCUGCUGAGUCUGGGCACUGGCUGAUGCCAGGAACUCUGCUGUCAUUUCCAACAGAAAAUAAAUUCUGUGCAGCAUCUGCACCCUCUCUUUUCCUUCUUCUCUAACAAAAUCUCAAUUGGCUAUAUUUUAUUGGUGGAGCCUAGGUUACAUGUCUGUGUAUCUGUUGCAAAAGAGGUUGGGAAAAUAAGUUAUUUAUUUUUCCUUAAGAGGCAGAACUCAUAAGAACUUCUCCAAAUAUAAGAACAUUGUUCAAAAGAUGCUGUUGGCCACAAAUGUGACAUAUGUCUGCCUCACUUUCCAUAACUCUGCCAGCAUUAAAUGAUUGUUUUUG